GAACGCAUAUUGCGCUCUUUGGUAUUCCGAAGAGCAUGCUUGUUUGAGUAUCAGUAAACACCUCAAAGCUUUUGAUUUUUUUUUAAAAGUUUUGGACUUGAGCAAUCCCAACACCAAUCUUUUUCAGAUCGGCGGCGGGUUGCUUGAAAUGCAGGUGCAGCUGGACAUUCUCCUGAGCUAAAAGCAUAUUUAUUUAGUCCCGUCAAACGGAUUAUUACUUUUGCUGCAGCUAAUAUAAAGGGAGUUUGACCGUAUUGGCUGACUGAUGCAGGAUUUCACAAGGGUCGGCACCGAUUCUUGUAAAACUCGAUCUCAAAUCAAGUAAGACUACCCGCUGAACUUA
rnacentral:misc_RNA from 1 species